AAGACUAUACUUUCAGGGAUCAUUUCUAUAGUUCGUUACUAGAGAAGCUUCUCUGAACGUGUAGAGCACCCGAAGCCACGAGGAGGAGAUGCAGCAUCCUCUCCUGAGCGUGAAGCCGGCUCUCGGCGUUGCUUUUGCAACUGCCGCCUGCCAUUGAUGAUCGUUCUUCUCUCUUUUGGGGGAGAAGAGGGAGAGGACGCAUUCUGAGUGGU
rfam:Myotis lucifugus cont2.20381, whole genome shotgun sequence.